GAGGGCCUACGGGACGCAGCAGUGAGGAAUAUUGGUCAAUGGCCGGAAGGCUGAACCAGCCAAGCCGCGUGAAGGACGAAGGUGCCAAGCAUUGUAAACUUCUUUUGUCAAGGGACAAAAUCAGGCUCGAGAGCCUGACCGAGGGUACUUGAAGAAAAAGCAUCGGCUAACUCCGUGCCAGCAGCCGCGGUAAUACGGAGGAUGCGAGCGUUAUCCGGAUUUACUGGGUGUAAAGGGGGCGCAGACGGCGAUGCAAGCCAGGAGUGAAAGCCCGGGGCCCAACCCCGGGACUGCUCUUGGAACUG
rnacentral:rRNA from 1 species